AUUGCAACACUUCAUAACAUUUUCUUUAACAUCAUGAAAUUUAUCCCACCCGAGGAGUAAUGCAGUUGGUUGCUGUAAUUCCAUUAUUAUGGUUUUUCAUCAUGAACAUUUCAGUGUGUUUCUUAGAAAAGAGCACGCAAGAUCCCCACGGACAUCCUUGAGCCAAUGCUGGAUUUUGUCCAUGACAGAAGAGGGACUUCCACUAACGUUCUGCUCCAUCCUUAUCUUCAAGACUCAUCCAGCUUUACUGCUUCAGUGCUUCUUAUGCUGCUAGUCCUGCUACACAAAAUUGUGUUGCUUCACUGGCGAGUUGGAUCACUUCAGUUGCUGUGACACACCUGCAGUCACUCACCACGGGAUUAUGGCAAGGUAAUGCAGAGGAGACGUCGAGAAGAUAGAUUUUCUCAUCUUUAAAAAUCGUUGAAAAAUCGUCACCGGUCUCCAUCGGAUGUUGCCCCUGCUCCUGGUGCGAACAAAAAUUCGGUGGAGUGAAUGGAUAAUGCGCCUAACAAAAUACUUCUGGCAAUGCAAAGGCACUGGAAAACGGAAAGGGACAAUCGCGACCGGCACCGAGACUCGUCAUCAACGUGGAUCAUCGUAUUGUUGGUAUUAUUUCGUUUGUGUUAGUGUUAGUUAACCCGUUGGCUGCCACGCCUUUGU